ensembl:lncRNA
AUGUUCCCUGGAACCGGUGGACCUGGGGUCCCAGGUGGUGAUAGCAGGUUGCAGCCUGGUCCUCAGGGGCCUCCUGGACCACCAGGCCCUCCAGGUCCCCCAGGGGCCCAAGGGUUUACAGGAAUCCAAGGCCCACAGGUGAGUAUAAAACAGAUGGCAGCAGUGUACCUCUGCUUUUUCUGUCUGUUCCUCCGUCCUGCUCUCUUUGUGGGGCUUUUGUAUCGGGAAGGCCUGCAUGGGUAACUCUGGGCUUCCACUAAAGCAUAUUUAAAUGCACCAGUAAUGUUUUCUGUAAAAGUUUACACAUAAAAUCAAUUGUUAAUUUAGCAAAUAAUGAUUACUACGGCCAUUAAUUAAAUGUAAUGUAAUGUAAUGUAAAUGUAAUGUCAUGCAGUUAUAAUGUAGUUUGUAAAAGAGCACUGUAUUAAAACAUUGCUGUUUAAAUUGCAUGCUUUAAAGGGGCUUCUGGGAAUUUUGGAUAGUGCCGUGGGAUGUGCUUCUUUAAUGUCUGUGCUUUUAAAAGUCAAUGUAAAGUAAAUGUAAAUAUUAAUGUAGAUUCUAAAGCAUUAAUGUAUGGAUAAAAUAUUGCGGGAAAAAUGAAUUAAUGUAAUCUAAUUAAUGCAUUACUUAAAUAAGUGGUUGGGGAUCAUGCUGCUUUUUCUUUUUAAAAACCAAGCAGAAGCUCACUGUGAGGUUGUUGUAUUUAAUUUCAGUCCAUUUUCAUCUUUAUCAGUUAUGUCUUAAAUAUACAAUGGGAAUUAUGAUGGUAUUUAAGCCCAUCAUCAAUUAAAUCCCCCUGAUAAACUGGCAAAUGUACUUCUGUAUGACCUCACCAUGAGCACUGAGUGGUCUUUAACCUGGUGUUGUGUUGAUUUCCCAAGCCUAAGAAGAACUGAAAUUAAAAAAAAUAGACAGAGAAAGGCAAGAAAAAAUGUAAAUGUUUACUCCGAGCUGGAACACAAACCAGGAGAGGGUCCAGGGCUUUGGCUACUUUCCCUCUGCCCCGCUGGAGAAGGAGGUGUCCAGAUUGUGGCCACAAGCUAAAGCAAUUCAACCUCAGUUCCUUCUUACAGGGUAUCCCUGGCAACGAUGGCGUACCAGGGAAACCGGGUCCACCCGGCCAAGCAGUGAGUAACCAGACAGGGGGAGGAGCUUUAUUACAGUAUAUAAACACAGAGCAAGGAGCCUGGUUGGUCGACUUCUGCGUUAGAAGUGGAGCGAGUUAGGCCUCCUUUAAACCGGU